rnacentral:rRNA from 1 species
GUACAGGGGGACAACAGUUGGAAACGGCUAGCUAAUACCGCAUAAGCGCACAGUACUGCAUGGUACAGUGUGAAAGUUCUGGCGGCAUACGAUGGACCCGCGUCUGAUUAGCUAGUUGGUGAGGUAACGGCCCACCAAGGCGACGAUCAGUAGCCGGCCUGAGAGGGUGAACGGCCACAUUGGGACUGAGACACGGCCCAAANCCUACGGGAGGCAGCAGUAGGGAAUUUUCGGCAAUGGGGGAAACCCUGACCGAGCAACGCCGCGUGAGUGAAGACGGCCUUCGGGUUGUAAAGCUCUGUUGUAAAGGAAGAAAGGCAUGGAUAGAAUCCAUGAGUGACGGUACUUUACCAGAAAGCCACGGCUAACUACGUG